AACGAACGCUGGCGGCGUGGAUAAGACAUGCAAGUCGAACGGGAACUUCAGCUGUAGCAAUACAGUUGAAGUUUUAGUGGCGAACGGGUGCGUAACACGUGGGCAAUCUGCCGAGAAGUGGGGGAUAGCUCGCCGAAAGGCGAAUUAAUACCGCAUAUGAUCAGCUAAGACAUCUUAGCGACAUCAAAGCCGGGGCAACCUGGCGCUUUUUGAGGAGCCCGCGGCCUAUCAGCUAGUUGGUGAGGUAACGGCUCACCAAGGCUAUGACGGGUAGCUGGUCUGAGAGGACGACCAGUCACACUGGAACUGAGACACGGUCCAGACACCUACGGGUGGCAGCAGUCGAGUAAUUUUCUCAAUGGGGCAACCCUGAAGGAGCGACGCGCGUGGAGGAUGAAGCUUUCGGGUUGUAAACUCCUGUCAUUUGAGAACAAGGUGCAUCGGUUAACUGCCGGUGCUAUUGAUAGUAUACAGAAGAGGAAG
rnacentral:rRNA from 1 species